GAUGAAGAACGUAGCAAAAUGCGAUAAGUAAUGUGAAUUGCAGAAUUCAGUGAAUCAUCGAAUCUUUGAACGCACAUUGCGCCCGCCAGUAUUCUGGCGGGCAUGCCUGUUCGAGCGUCAUUUCAACCAUCAAGCCCCAGGCUUGUGUUGGGGACCUGCGGCUGCCGCAGGCCCUGAAAACCAGUGGCGGGCUCGCUAGUCACACCGAGCGUAGUAGCAUACACAUCGCUCAGGGCGUGCUGCGGGUUCCGGCCGUUAAACCCCUUUUUUACCCAAGGUUGACCUCGGAUCAGGUAGGAAGACCCGCUGAACUUAAGCAUAUCAAUAAGCGGAGG
rnacentral:misc_RNA from 1 species